GGCAGCCUUAGGAAAUGUGGCUUGGGAGGAAGGCUAGAGAUAGAGGUUUGUGUACACCCACUAAAGGGGCUUGUGACAGUGUGACUACUUUGAUUACUGGGGCCAAGGAACCAUGGUCACCGUCUCCUCAGAGAGUAAAUCCUCCCCAACUCUCUUCCCCCUCAUCUCCUGCGAGAGCCCCCUGUCUGAUGAGAAUUUGGUGGCCAUGGGCUGUCUGGCACGAGACUUCCUGCCCAGCUCCAUUUCCUUCUCCUGGAACUACCAGAACAACUCUGAAAUCAACCAGGGUGUCAGAACUUACCCAACUAUGAGGACAGGAGAAAAGUAUAUAGCCACCUCGCAGGUCUUCCUGUCUCCUAAGAAUGUCCUUGAGGGUUCAGAUGAAUACCUGGUCUGCAAAGCCCACCAUGGUGACAGAAACAAUGAUCUACGUGUGCCCAUUCCAGUUGUCAAAGAGAUAAACCCCAAUGUCAGUGUGUUCAUUCCACCACGUGAUGCCUUCUAUGGCCCUGCACCGCGCAAGUCCAGACUUAUCUGCGAGGCCUCCAACUUCAGUCCCAAACAGAUCACAGUGUCCUGGCUACAUGAUGGGAAGCCUGUGAAGUCUGGCUUCACCACAGAGCCAGUGACGACUGAAGACAGAGGAUCUGGACCCCGAACCUUCAAGGUUAGAAGCACAUUAACCAUCACUGAAAGCGACUGGCUGAACCUGAAUGUGUACUCGUGCCGUGUAGAUCACAGGGGUCUCACCUUCUGGAAAAAUGUGUCUUCCACAUGUGCUACCAGUCCAUCCACAGACAUCCUAGCCUUCCCCAUUCCCCCCUCCUUUGUUGACAUCUUCCUCAACAAGUCUGCCAAGCUGACCUGCCUAGUCACGAACCUAGCAACCUAUGACACCCUGAAUAUCUCCUGGACUUCCCAAAAUGGGGAGCCACUGGAAACCAAGAUCACACUCACUGAAAGCCACCCCAAUGGCACCUUCAGUGCCAUGGGUGUGGCUAAUGUUUGUGUCGAAGACUGGGAUAGCAAGAAGGAGUUUGUGUGCACCGUGACUCACAGGGACCUGCCUUCACCACAGAAGAAAUUUAUCUCAAAGCCCAGAGAGGUGGUCAAGCACCCACCUGCUGUGUACCUGCUGCCACCAGCCCGCGAGCAACUGAUCCUGAGAGAGUCAGCCACAGUCACCUGCCUAGUGAAAGGCUUCUCUCCUGCAGACAUCUUUGUGCAGUGGCUUCAGAGGGGUCAACCCUUGUCCUCAGACAAGUAUGUGACCAGUGCCCCAAUGCCAGAACCCCAGGCCCCAGACCGUUACUUCACCCACAGCAUCCUGACCGUGACAGAGGAGGAAUGGAACUCCGGGGAGACCUACACCUGUGUUGUAGGCCACGAGGCCCUGCCACACAUGGUGACCGAGAGGACCGUGGACAAGUCCACUGAGGGGGAGGUGAAUGCUGAGGAGGAAGGCUUUGAGAACCUAUGGACCACGGCCUCCACCUUCAUCGUCCUCUUUCUCCUGAGUCUCUUCUACAGCACCACUGUCACGCUGUUCAAGGUGAAGUGACUCACAGCGCAGAAGGACAUCAGAGACCAAGAAACCCUCCCACAAGGGCAUUACCUCUGGGCCUGGGGUGGGCCUGCCUGUAGGACUAGUAAACUUAUUCCUUUCUUUCUUGUAUCACCCUCCGGCUUGGAGCUCUGAGUUGGACUUCUGGGUCAAGGACUUUGUCAACCUGUGUACCCUGAAGCAGGGUCUGGACCACAUACGGCUGUACUGACUACAAGUGUUGUUGGAAAUAAAUAAAUACCUUAUCUUGUGAACUCA